GAGACCCACGCCAACAGUUGCCAGCAUGUCCUCCGGGAUGGUGGGGACACUGUUGGGACCGCCUCUGCUAAAGAGGAGGAAGGAAUGGGCAACGGUAAGUCAGCAUGCCCCGAAUUAUCCGGGCUACACGCGGGCUACAAUGGUCAGGACAAUGGGUAUCGACACCGAGAGGUGAAGGCAAUCCCCUAAACCUGUCCCUGGUUCGGAUUGUGGGCUGCAACUCGCCCACAUGAAGGUGGAAUCCGUAGUAAUCGCGUCUCAAAAUGGCGCGGUGAAUAU
rnacentral:rRNA from 1 species